rnacentral:rRNA from 1 species
GAAUCUUGCGCAAUGGCCGAAAGGCUGACGCAGCGACGCCGCGUGUGGGAGGAAGCCCUUCGGGGUGUAAACCACUGUUGCCCGGGACGAACAGCUCCUUCGUGGAGCCUGACGGUACCGGGUGAGGAAGCACCGGCUAACUCCGUGCCAGCAGCCGCGGUAAUACGGAGGGUGCGAGCGUUGUCCGGAAUCACUGGGCGUAAAGGGCGCGUAGGUGGCUUGGCAAGCGUGUGGUGAAAGCCCGGGGCUCAACCCCGGGUCUGCCGUGCGAACUGCUAUGGCUUGAGCACUGUAGAGGCAGGUAGAAUUCCGGGUGUAGCGGUGGAAUGCGUAGAGAUCCGGAAGAAUACCGGUGGCGAAGGCGGCCUGCUGGGCAGUGGCUGACACUGAGGCGCGACAGCGUGGGGAGCAAACAGG